UAAAACCCAAAUGCCUUGCGCGGAAAAAGGGACCUGGGAGUUAUGAGUAGUUUUAGUGAGCACAUUAAGCUCGAUAUCUAUAGAAACAAUAUGGUUUUGCUUACUUCCUCCGUCGUGUGCGCUUGCGGCUGUCGGUGUUUUUUCAGUCCUGUAAUGUGAAUGUAAUUGGAGGGGUGAGUGAUUUUUUAUUUCCUCUUGUCCCUGUAUAGGAGCAUCAAGCAUGUCACACCUUGUAAAUUGCGAGUUCAGUGACAGAUAUACAUGUUUGCCUUUGCUAUGUUCUGAUCCUUGUGUUCCAAACCUUGGUUGGAUCAAAUUCUCCUCGAGUUCCUUUUUAUUUUUAACUUACUCCCUCAACUCCCUUGUGGCCUGCAAAUAGAGAAAUCUUGAGGUUUCUGGUCCAACAAAUCAAACAACAAUACAAGAAAUGUUUCAAGGAUUUGAAACUCUACAAAUCAUAUAUGAUGCCUAAAUAGUUUAUCUCCACUAACUCAAUUGUCUUAACAUGCAAUUAUGUCAAACUCAGUAUGCCACCAUGUAUGUCCCACUAAAUUUAAUUCUGUUAACAUGCAAUUAUGUCAACUCACCAUGACACUAUGAUUGCAUCCAAUUCCCGCAGCAACGCACAGGGUAUUUUCUCUAGUUUUCUUAAAGCUUCACUAAAAGCAAAGAGAUCAUGAACAGCAAAACAAAAGCACGGGUGGAAAAUUGUUUGUUGGGGACAUGCCAUUCCAUUGGGGCGUGUGAAUGGGGAUGGGGUGUGCUCAUGACAACAUAGCCAUUGCACAAAGGACGGCCUGUUCUGGUGCUAAACACCUGUUGCUGACACUGAGGAUGCCAACCGGAUGAGAUCAUGCGUGACAGCGAACCCAGAUAAGAUUUGUG
rnacentral:lncRNA from 1 species